GAACUUAAGCAUAUCAAUAAGCGGAGGAAAAGAAACUAACAAGGAUUCCCUCAGUAACUGCGAGUGAAGUGGGAAAAGCUCAAAUUUGAAAUCUGGCAGCUCUUUCAGGUUGUCCGAGUUGUAAUCUAGAGAAGUGUUACCUGUGUUGGACCGUGUAAAAGUCUUCUGGAAUGGAGCAUCAUAGAGGGUGAGAAUCCCGUCUUUGACAUGGACUACCAGCAUGCCAAGGUGCACUCUCAAAGAGUCGAGUUGUUUGGGAAUGCAGCUCAAAAUGGGUGGUAAAUGCCAUCUAAAGCUAAAUAUUGGCGAGAGACCGAUAGCGAACAAGUACCGUGAGGGAAAGAUGAAAAGAACUUUGGAAAGAGAGUUAAACAGUACGUGAAAUUGCUGAAAGGGAAACGCUUAAAGUCAGUCGCAUUAGCUGGAAAUCAGGCUUGCUUUUGCAAGGUGCACUUUCUAGUCGAUGGGUCAGCAUCAAUUUUAAUCGUUGGAUAAAGUCAUUGGGAAUGUGGCAUCUUUGGAUGUGUUAUAGCCCAGUGUUGAAUACAGCGGUCAGGAUUGAGGAAUUCAGCAUGCCUCUAGGGGCCAGGUUUCGACCAUGUUCAUGCUUAGGAUGCUGGCAUAAUGGCUUUAAUCGACCCGUCUUGAAACACGGACCAAGGAGUCUAACAUGCCUGCGAGUGUUUGGGUGAAAAACCCAUACGCACAAUGAAAGUGAAAGUUGAGAUCCUUAGGGAGCAUUGACGCCCGGACCAGACCUUCUGUGACGGAUCCGCGGUAGAGCAUGUAUGUUGGGACCCGAAA
rnacentral:rRNA from 1 species